AGCUCCAAGGUGGGCCUACCAGUCACAUUGCAUAAGGUUGAUACACGACCGAGAAGUGGUUGAUUUAGCUGUGUUUUAUUGAGAGACUUAUUAUCUGUUAAAUGGCAGAUUUAGGAAUACGCCUCCAUACCCUAUGAAGUUCAGCAAUACCAGCAGAGCCCAAACUUUGAGAGAAAGAGAGAGAAUGGGAUCUUGCAGCAGGGAGAUCAUGGCUGUAUCAGAAUUUUCUGUUUUACAGGGUCAGUACCUCAGUGUCUCAUCCUUGUUCUGAACCAUUGUUAGUAAACACGCCGUGGGGAAUCUGAACCAAAUUUCAGCCACUGAUUAACAUCACCCCCACAGUACAAAUUGUUCCAGUGUCACUGCUUGGAUGACUAGUUUGCCUCAGAUUACCGUAACAUUACAAAGAGAAGUCCUAGGUCCAGGAGGAGUUGUAAUGAAAGCACACGGCUGUUGUAUAAACUCCAACGUGAUCCUUUGGAUUUGUACUGGGUUUAUUUUACAGGCAUGAGGUAUUGGAGGAAUUCUGAGCCUCUUCAUAUCCUGGGGAGAUGAGAACAGGAAAUCCCAGAUAAGCAGAGACCCAGAGAAUCUACUACAUUGUCUCUGCAAUAGCCAGUUUCAUCUCACCUUGGUCUCAGCUACCCAUCUGACUGAGUAUUGCAAGGCACAAAAAUACCCAAAAGAGAACAGAUGGCUCAGAGGACUGCAAGCAAGUUACUCCACAGAUGAGACCCAAGAGACAGUGAUUGACAAGGAAAAGAGUCAGGUCUCUCUGAAAAGUUUG